UAUUUAAUUAUUAAAAUUUAUUUAAUAAAAAAAAAUUUAAUUUUUAGUAUAUUUAAGAAAAAAUUAUUAUUAUUAUAGUGUAUUAGUAUAGUAUUAGAAAUUAAUAUUAAAAUUUUAAAAGAAAAAUUUAGUUUUUGUACCUUGUGUAUCAGGGUUUAUUAAAUUAAUUUAUAAAUUUAAUAUUCUCGAUUUUUAAAGAGUUAAUAAAUUAUAAAUUUUAUUGUAUAAGAAAUAUUUAAAAUAAUUUAUUAGAAGUGAAAUAUUAAUCGAUUUAAAAUAUAUCUAGUUUUUAAAGAAAUAAAUUUAAUUUAAUUAUUAAUAAUUAUUGUUGUUUUAAAUAUAAUUUUAAGUUUUUUAAUAAUUAAUAAUUUUUGGGAUAAGCUAAAAAUUAUAAAUUUAAAAAUUAAAAUUAAAUUAAUUAAGAAUAUAGGAUUAGAAAUUUUUUUUAUUAGUAAUUUGUUAUUAUUAGUUUAAUUUUUAAUAAGAUUUAUUUUUUAUUUUAAAUUUUUUAUUUAAAAAAAUUUAUUUAAUAAUUAUAUAAAUUAAAUAAUGGUAGAAUUAGUAUAAUGUAAAUUAAAUAUAUUGUAUAAAUGAAAAUUUAGUAAAAGGAAUUCGGCAAAUAAUUUUUUUGCCUGUUUAUUAAAAACAUGUCUUUUUGUUAAUAAUUUAAAGUCUGACCUGCCAAUUGAGGAUUUAAAAGGCUGCAGUAUAUUGACUGUACAAAGGUAGCAUAAUCAUUAGUUUCUUAAUUAGAAGCUAGAAUGAAUGGUUUGACAAAAAAAAAUCUGUCUCUUAUUGAAAUUUAAAAUUUUAUUUUUAAGUUAAAAAGCUUAAAUAUUUUAAAAAGACGAGAAGACCCUAUAGAGUUUAAUAAAUUAAUAUUUAAAAAUAUUAGGAUUUAUUAGUUUAAUUGUUAAAUUUAUUUUAUUGGGGUGAUAGAAAAAUUUAUUUAACUUUUUUUAUAUAAAAACAUUAAUUUAUGGUUUAUUGAUCCAAUUUUUAUUGAUUAUAAGAAAAAUUACCUUAGGGAUAACAGCGUUAUUUUUCUUUAAAGUUCAAAUUAAAAGAAAAUUUUGCGACCUCGAUGUUGGAUUAAAAUUAAUAAUUGGUGUAGCAGCUAAUUAAUUAAGUCUGUUCGACUUUUAAAAUUUUACAUGAUCUGAGUUUAAACCGGUGUAAGCCAGGUUGGUUUCUAUCUUUUAAUAAUAAUAAUUUUUUAGUACGAAAGGAUUAAAAA
rnacentral:rRNA from 1 species